UGGCUGCGUAGAGAUGUCCGUAGGAGAAGUACGGGAAAUGAGGUGUAUCUAUAGACUGCUCUAUACAGGCAAAGAAAGGCAAUGUUGAGCAGUUGAAGGAAGUUGAACCCGGAAGCAGCUGCGGCUUCACCUGUUUUCACCGCCUUUGCUGGUCUCCCGGCAGAAUCUCCAAGCUCAACGACAAACAAAUGAUCCUUGAUCGCUUCAAGCUCUACUCCCAGCGAAGGAAGGACUCAAUGAAUCCCAAAGAACACUGCGUCGUACUAUAUAUAUAUACCAUGCCACCCUACCCCCCACAACGCCAAACAACCCGAUAAUUAUUAAAUAAGGAAAACAAACAAAGGCAACAAUGCCACCAGUUCGUGUCCCCUACCCACCCCCUCCUCUUGAAAACCCCUUGCAGGAAAGAAAAUAAAAUAAAAUAAAAAACCCCAGCUAACCAGCGCCAAACCCUUCCCAAACGCACACAAGAAACAGCGCAGCUUCACCAACCCAUCCCCCAAAACGGAAUCCGCCCGCAACGCCCUGACCUCCUUCACCUGCACGCUCUGCAGCAAAUCCUACUCGCGCCACCCGGAAUAUGAAGCGCACAUCGGCUCCUACGACCACCAGCACCGCAAGCGCCUGCGGGAUCUGAAGCAGC
rnacentral:sRNA from 1 species